GACGAACGCUGGCGGCGUGCUUAACACAUGCAAGUCGAACGGAAAGGCCUGCUUUCCCUUGUGGAUUGCGGGUACUCGAGUGGCGAACGGGUGAGUAACACGUGAGUGAUCUGCCCCCAACUUGGGUAUAAGCCUGGGAAACUGGGUCUAAUUCCCGAUAGGACUGCAGGGUGGUGCCUGUGGUGGAAAACGAUUUUCUAGUGGUUGGGGAUGAGCUCGCGGCCUAUCAGCUUGUUGGUGGGGUAAUGGCCUACCAAGGCGGCGACGGGUAGCCGGCCUGAGAGGGUGGACGGCCACAUUGGGACUGAGAUACGGCCCAGACGCCUACGGGAGGCAGCAGUGGGGAAUAUUGGACAAUGGGCGGAAGCCUGAUGCAGCGACGCAGCGUGGGGGAUGACGGCCUUCGGGUUGUAAACUCCUUUCGACCGCGAGGAAGCCACCUGGUUGGAAGGGUGGUGACGGUAGUGGUAGAAGAAGCACCGGCUAACUACGUG
rnacentral:rRNA from 1 species